rnacentral:lncRNA from 1 species
GAGAUUUUGGCCUUCAGAAAAGGAAAGAAAAAAGUAAAAGCAAGGCAGAGAAGUUCCAAGUGGAGUUGGACCUAUACCUAAUGGCAAGAGAGCAGUUGGUAUUUGCCUGGUUUUCUGACUUGGUCAGAUAGCCCUGGAGUAAAUGGGAUCCCUGCUUACGCUAUUAGUACUUUUCCAAAGUGGAGGUUCCCUCGUGUUUCUGUAAGAACAGCACGUUCCUGGGCUCAGAACACUUGCUCUGCCCUUAGCGUGCAGGUCAAACCUUGCACUCCUCUGACACAAAAGAUUGUGAUGUUUUCCUGAAGCCCAACUUUUUGUACUUCUGUUUGCUGGGCUGACGGUGGAACCUCCCCAUGCCUGGAAGUCUGUUGUGACAACCAGCAUUAACCUAUUGAAAGGGUAAGGUUUUAGAUAGAAAUACAUUUAUAUACGUACUUACAGUGGCAGUUUCUGUUUAAAAAUGGUUACAUGUAUCACUAGAAAAAGGGUGAAACACGAGGUACAGUAAGGUGACUUUCCAAGUGAGACGUGUCACAAAACCAAGGAAGUUAGCUGAGGCUCCCAGGUCUCUGGCUACUGCAGAAGUGCCCUAAAUUCCCCUGGUGGGAAAUCAUGCUUUUUUUUUUUUUUCUACAUGGGAAACUUAUCUUAACAGACAUAGCAAAAUCCUAACCUGAAUUAGUCUUCAAAUAAUAAAUGUACAUACCACUGCUAUGAGUAUUAACUAGUUACUGUCUAUAGCGCCUUUAAUUUGAAGAUCUGAAAGUGCUUGUAAAGAAUGAACUAACCCCCCUGCGAGGUAGGUAAGUAGUAGUAUCCCUAUUUUACAGAUGGGGAAACUGAGGCAUUAGAGAGGCUACGUGACUUGCCCAAGGUCACAGGUGAGUCAGUGGCAGAGCUGGGAACAGACCUCAAGUCUUGCUGUCUUGUCCUGUGCUCUGUCACUGUGCAUGCUGCUUCUGUAGGGACCACGUAUACAAAUAGUUGAGUAUUUACAUAUAUACCAGUAUGUGAGUAAUAUACAAUUAUCCAAAUCAUCUGCAGAGAUGUUGCUUAAUUUCUUAUUUCUAAAACAACUUCAGUCUCCGACCUGGAGUACGCUGCCUCCUAGCUCUGUGACAGUCCGUGUCUGGGGGUCUGACUGCUUACUGGUGAUUGCUGUAGGUUACAAAGCCAGGUGAAAAUGAUGCCGGGGAUGGGAGGUGAGAAAUAAAGCUACUUUGAAGAGCAGGAAACCUAGAGAACAGGACAAGUGAUCAAGACCUACUUGAUUCCAAAUUCCUAGCAUUUGUAUGAUGAUUGUUGUUGGGGCACCCAGAACAGAGGCCAGGCGUGGGCCAGUUGUGGCACAGCUGUGCACCCUGAACCAGGGAAUAGGUUAACUCCUCACAGAAGAUGCUCGGUGUCUCAUAAGCUCCUACCCCAGCUGCUUGCACAAACAGCAGAGAGAUGCUUCAACCAUUCCUCCGAUGGAAAGAGUAAGAAAAUGGAAAAAUGUAAGUAAAAUCUCCAGUAGUCUGACUGCAGGUGAUCUUAAAAAGGAAAAAUAAGGCUGGCAUCAAUCAAAUGUAUUUUUUCCACAAGAUCUUUCAGUUUCUUCCCCUGACCCUCCACCUUAACAGUAGUAAUAAUAAUUCACGAGCUGCUAUAAAGCCUAUUGCUACAAAAGGGAUGCAUAGAUACAAUCAAUCAAUUUGGCCUUCUGGGGAGACCAGACUGACAAUUUUGCAAACUCCUGGACACAUGUAUUCAUCACUUAGUAUAGCAAAUCGUUGUGUUCACUGUGAAAGUCAGCUCAAACUAGUUCGUAGCUGGGAAGUAUCUGAGUCAUGGAACAAAUCCCCCAGGAGCUGCAGCCCAGCAGCCCUGUGAUGUUCCUCUCCUGUUCAGCAGAACACUAUCAAGAGAUUAUUGCAGUGCUUUAUCCAUCAUGCCAUUACAAUGUGGCAGCUCCUACCCCUGCCCUUUCAGGACACAGCAGGAGGACAUGACUCACACGGUUUGCACAGAAGGGAUUUGCAUUCCCCUCUGUCACUUCCACAUUUUUGAGGGGCAUUGCUGCAGAGUUAUUAGCAUUUCAUUUGGAGAUUUGUACCUGUUAAUGUAGGGCUGAGUUUGAAUGACACCAUUUAAUCGGAGCCGGCUCCGGUGUACUUGAUUUGUGGAAAACUUACAAGCCCUUCUGCUGCCUGAGGAUGCGAGCCCUGCAUCUGCCCCAGCCCCCAACCCAGCUGACACCCAUCUGCACAACCAAACCGGGGUGGGUUUUAUUCCCACUUGUUACAAUGGUAACAUAAAGAUGUGCUGCCCCGGAGUUUAUAAGCUGCACUAUGCUUAGACGAAGCAUGAAAUAAUUCAAACCCUUCUCCUCACUUCCUGUAGCAGCUCCCGUUAAUACUGGUGCUUCCAAAAAUACACUAGAUUGGAUUUGUUAAACUGUGGGUCCUUAUUGUGGGCUGCUUUGAGAACCGCAUUCAGCUGCUUCUCACUGCAGCUCUCAUAGGUGGGUUUGCAUCAUAAAGGCAGGAUUGCUGGAUUUCUCAUUGAGCAAUCAGCAAACUGCUUCUGACCCCUAAGAUUUUGCAGGUCUCCGUGUGAUGCUUUGCUCAGCCUUACUUACAGGAAGAGAAGAUGCAAUUCUCAAAGACUGCUAUAACCCUGCCGUGUCCUCAGGAAGAUCCCAACAAGGUGGUGGUUUUCCUUAACAGCUGGAGAGUCAGAUCUGAAAUUAGGCAAAGCAUCAUACCCCAGGCAUCCCAGCAUCUCAUUUAUGCAAGACUGCACUGCCUCUGCAGAAGAUGUGAUCUUUGGCAGUACCCCUCAGGAUGUGCUCCAGCCCCAAUAACCUGUCCUGGGAAUAGAGCCUUCAGCCUGACAAAGCCAUGGUGUAAGGCACAGCCAUUUCUCAGCUCCUGGUCAGCACUGGCUUCUUCCAGGCAAGCAGCCAACUUAACAGCAGCUCUGAAGCAGUAUCAAGUGCCAGUCAUCUGUGUAUCUCAGCAACAGCACAGAAAGUCCAAAGUAUCACAUCGUGAAAAAUCAUCGUGUCAACCAUUUUGCUCUUGAUGGGGCAUCUUCUCCCCUUUUUGAUGCUCCUUAGGAUAAAUGCAACAAUGGGAGUGCCUGGACAGGGCCUGGCAGAAACGGAGGGGGAAAAUGAGCAAUUGCAAAAACAGUAACAGAAGGGUAAUGUUUCCUGCCAUGCUCCUUCCGUUGCCUUAGAAAAGGGACUGCAGAGACUUCCCAGAUGGGGUCUGGGCUGCUCUCCCUUCAGUUGCUUUUCAGGAAUGCAGCUCACAGACCCAGGGACCUCACUGCUGUACAGCAGGUGGGUGGCUGUAUAUGACACUGGCUCGGGAGGCAGCAAGAAGUGAACGCAGCAGUGGAAAUUAGGCAGGAAUUUCAAAAACGGAUACAGCUCGGUGUAAGGGUGAGGUUUACCAUUAGUGAUAUAAGAACCACACUGAGGUUUCUGUCUCAGGCAGCCACAGCUGGUUUGGGGCUGUUCAUCAAUGCAGAAGUUGGGAGCAAGGCCAGGUAUUGGCUUCCCCUGCCUGCCUUACUGGGAGGCCAUCCUGCUCCCUACAAGGGAAUUUCUUCAUGGCAGUGAGGUAAACAAGCAAAUCAUAAUGCUUUCUAGUUGCAUGAUCACAGGGGUCUCUAACUCAGUAACAAUUUACAAUAACGAGUAUAAUGACCAGGAGAACACGUUACUGAAAGAAUCAGAGGUUGUAUUGCUUAAAGAAAACAAAAAGCCAGUAAUAACCUGAAACCCUUCCUAAAAAGGUUUUACGUAUGAUUCUCAGCCUCUUGCUAAGCCACCACUCACCAGCUGGAUGUGCUGAUGAGGAGUUCAAGCAGGAUGCAGAGCCGAUCACACUGGAUAGCAGCAGCGAUAACCCAGCAGUGCUCUCCUCUCAUCAUCCCAGCACUGGAGAAAUCCUCCACUCUGCCACUGGUGUAACUGAAUUAUGUGGGAAUCGAAGACUGACUGCAUCUGAAGGAGUACUGCGGUUUACAGUGGCUUUGCUUUAUAAAUGGUCAAACCUUCCCUUCAGUUUUUGUGAAGGUAAAAAUAAAUAAAUAAAUAAAAUCAUAGGAGGUGCAAAUAGCUAUAAAAUAGGCUAACAGAGUUUUACAUUUGUUUCAUCCUGUGGACAGAACGGAAUUCAUAACGCUGAAUCAGGUGAGAGCAAACAAUUACAAACAAUGAACUAAGUUUUCUAGCAGGUGUUAAGAUGCCUUACUUAUAGCCGUGUUGUAACAUGGUCCUCUUGCCCGUCUUUCCACUGGUUUAUAAACAAGUCACAAGCCUCUCCCCAUGAAUCAAACACAUCCUCUGAUGAGUCUAAAAGUUUGGAAUUAGAGGAACAAAUACUGGAAGCACAGUGAAGGGAACUGGUACAAACCACAGGGCACUCCUUGCUCUGUCCUGUAAGUCUCGUGUUCCCACUGUAGUCUACCUCAUUGAGGUUAAUUUCACUUUUGGAACAAUUCUCUUCUCUCUCUUUAUCAAUCUGAGAAUAUUUGAUGUCUUUCCACAUGUAGUGUGGCUGAAUAAUCCCAUCUGAAAUAGUGUACAUGGGCUCUGAAUUUGCCUCAGGUACAUGUCCAUUCAUCUUGGAGAACAGCAGCCCCAGUCUCUUAAAGGACUCUUUCUUGGAACUGGAGAGCCUCUGAACUCUAUUUCCAUUUCGGAUAAAGGAGCGCUUACUGAUCCCAUUGCUUUUUGGCUUCUCUUCCACCAUGUCAAUCCCAGACAUAGUUUUAAUUAGCGCAGACACAUUGAAGUCCUUUUUUUUGUUGGCUACAUUGAAAGACACACUCUUGACUUUGGGUUUUUCUCCAGUGCUAUCCUCAUUUGUUUCAUCCUUUUGGGACACCUCUGUGCUACUGGUAGAAUAACUUCUCCUCUGGGGCUUCCUGUUUCCCAGGAGGUCAAGGACUUCAUAGCGAAAACUUGAGAUGUCCUGUUUUAAUUCCUAGGGCAAGAGGAAAAAUGAGGUACACUCAGCAGCAUUAUCGGUGAGGUAAAAGAGUGACCACGUUCUCCUGGGAGGAUUGCUCAGAGGUAUACAAAGGGCUGGUAUCAAAUAAUGAUUACAAGAAAACCACAUAGAUCUUUAUUAUUUGAUGACAGAAAAAAAGAAAGUGUGCUGUUAAUCCUGAGAACUGGAGAGUUUGCCAGAUCUUUACUGCCAUAGGCUGUGGUCCAGCCUUUGUGACCACCCCUUUCUCUCCCCUUCUUCCUGCUUGAGCGCUGGGGGACAAGCUGAAAUAAGGCAUUCUAUAGAAAUGAUGAAACUGUUGGAAUUUAGAAAUAUUACAGGAAUUUUUUAGUUGGCCCAACUUUAAUUUUGUUUACAAGUGUUCUCUGUAUCCAUUAACCCAGCCUCAGUCUGGGAUUAGGAGUGUGGUGUUGACACAAAUCAAGUGCUUUGUUCAAAGCCUUUGUCUACAUACUUCCACAUCUGGAAGUGACCAUAUGAUAAGACACCUGAAUGAGGAGUAUCUUCUGCUCAAAAGAAACCCACAUGCACACCGUGUAUAUAUUCCCAGCUCCAGUAAUGGUUGUAUUUCCACAUUUUUCCCAAAUUAGUGGGAACUCUUCAAGUGGCUACUCAAAUUAAUAUGAUCAUUAAUGAGAAAAAAGUUACCUUGAAAUUUUCUUCAGUUAAGCCUUCGUUGGUUUUGGAAGUUCUUAUCAUUGCUGCAACAUACCUUUUUACAAGAUUUCUAAUCACUUCCUGAAAUAAGAAACAAUACAAGUGAUUCAAAUUCUGGCUCUAAAUGUACUUCUCUGAGCUCUGACAGUGGUUCUCCCUGUUUUGCUCUCUUAAAAUGAAUUAAAAAAGAAAAUCACCAUUAGCAGUGCUUGUACUUUUCAUUUUGAAAGCUAUUAAAUAUUUUGCACUCUUUCAAUUGUAAAAGUCGUUCAGCAAAAUCUUCUUGAUUAUCUUAAAUGUCUUCAAAGGUAUUUAAAUUCUUUCACUGCAGUUUUUAAUCUCAGGUGCCAAAAGUUUAAGGUUACCAGUCUCACGUGUACUGUGUAGCUAAGCUUGC